AUAUGCCGAGAGGUGAAACGAAUUUCGCCUGGGGAUGAGCUCGCGUCUGAUUAGCUUGUUGGUGGGGUAAAGGCCUACCAAGGCUUCGAUCAGUAGCUGGUCUGAGAGGACGAUCAGCCACACUGGGACUGAGACACGGCCCAGACUCCUACGGGAGGCAGCAGUGGGGAAUUUUCCGCAAUGGGCGCAAGCCUGACGGAGCAACGCCGCGUGAGGGAUGAAGGCCUUUGGGCUGUAAACCUCUUUUCUCAAGGAAGAACAUCUGACGGUACUUGAGGAAUAAGCCACGGCUAAUUCCGUGCCAGCAGCCGCGGUAAUACGGGAGUGGCAAGCGUUAUCCGGAAUUAUUGGGCGUAAAGCGUCCGCAGGCGGCCGUUUAAGUCUGUUGUUAAAUCGUGGAGCUCAACUCCAUCACGGCAAUGGAAACUGUUCGGCUUGAGUAUGGUAGGGGCAGAGGGAAUUUCCGGUGUAGCGGUGAAAUGCGUAGAUAUCGGGAAGAACACCAGUGGCAAAAGCGCUCUGCUGGGCCAUUACUGACGCUCAUGGACGAAAGCCAGGGGAGCGAAAGGGAUUAGAUACCCCUGUAGUCCUGGCCGUAAACGAUGAACACUAGAUGUUGGGGGAAUCGACCCCUCCAGUGUCGUAGCUAACGCGUUAAGUGUUCCGCCUGGGGAGUACGCACGCAAGUGUGAAACUCAAAGGAAUUGACGGGGGCCCGCACAAGCGGUGGAGUAUGUGGUUUAAUUCGAUGCAACGCGAAGAACCUUACCAAGGCUUGACAUCCUGCGAAUCUCCAAGAAAUUGGAGAGUGCCUUCGGGAACGCAGUGACAGGUGGUGCAUGGCUGUCGUCAGCUCGUGUCGUGAGAUGUUGGGUUAAGUCCCGCAACGAGCGCAACCCACGUUUUUAGUUGCCAGCAUUCAGUUGGGCACUCUAGAAAGACUGCCGGUGACAAACCGGAGGAAGGUGUGGACGACGUCAAGUCAUCAUGCCCCUUACGCCUUGGGCUACACACGUACUACAAUGCUGCGGACAAAGAGU
rnacentral:rRNA from 1 species